ACAAAGGUGGCAAGAGAGAAUAGAGAGAGUUUACAGAGAAGUCAAGAUAGAGAGAAAGAGAAGAACCCAAGUGAAGAGGAGAGCUAGGAAUCACAAGAGGAGUGAAGAUUUUGGUGGAUUAGCUAAGCUUUCGAGGAAACAAGAGUAGGGAAAUUCAAAACAGACUUAAAGCCUCACAACAUUGUUCUUUCAAACUAUGAAGGAAAAAUGGCCAUUCCCUUGGGGCCAUUCAAGUCGAUUUGGCAGUAGAAAGCGUCAUAAGGCCAACACUCUUUAUGGUGGUUCCUUCCAAAGUUAACUUCAAUUUGUUGCUUGGAAGGAAGUGGAUCCAUGGGGUAGAUGUUUUACCUCCGUAUCUGCAUCAAAGAAGUGCCAUCUAGAGAGAAGAUGGUUUGGUCGAAAACAUUGAGGCUGACCAAAGCUACUUCAUGGCUGAAGUAAACCAUGUGACUAGAAAAACUUUCACAAAAAUUUGGCGAAUAUAUUGCAUGCUCAUAAGCGGAAUCUGGAUUCACCCCCAGAAAAAUGUAUGUUAUGUAAAACUUGAUCCUACACAUGGAUUUAUGUUGGAAAGAAGUAGCAGAAGAAGAAACUCUGGAGGGGCAUGAGUGGUUCUAUGGCCCGGCAACCCCGGCCACUCGUCCGGGCUCCGGCUCAAUUUUUUUCAAUUUCUUAUGUAAAUCCUUAUAAAUUUCUUAUAUAAACAUCUAUAAAUUGGACAAUUUCUUUA